rnacentral:rRNA from 1 species
UACGUAGGGGGCUAGCGUUGUCCGGAUUUAUUGGGCGUAAAGAGCGUGUAGGCGGCCAGGUAGGUCUGCUGUGAAAACUCGAGGCUCAACCUCGAGACGUCGGUUGAAACCGUAUGGCUAGAGUCCGGAAGAGGAGAGUGGAAUUCCCGGUGUAGCGGUGAAAUGCGCAGAUAUCGGGAAGAACACCCGUGGCGAAGGCGGCUCUCUGGGACGGUACUGACGCUGAGACGCGCAAGGCCA